GAUGAACGCUGGCGGCGUGCCUAAUACAUGCAAGUCGAGCGGUAAGGCCUCUUCGGAGGUACACGAGCGGCGGACGGCUGAGUAACACGUAGGAACGUGCUCCAAAGUGAGGAAUAAGCACCAGAAAUGGUGUCUAAUACCGCAUGUGCUCUAAGGAGUAAAGCUACGGCGCUUUGGGAACGGCCUGCGCAUGAUUAGCUUGUUGGUGAGGUAAAAGCUCACCAAGGCGACGAUCAUUAGCUGGUCUGAGAGGAUGAUCAGCCAGACUGGGACUGAGACACGGCCCAGACUCCUACGGGAGGCAGCAGUAGGGAAUUUUCCACAAUGGGCGAAAGCCUGAUGGAGCAACGCCGCGUGCAGGAUGAAUGCCUUCGGGUUGUAAACUGCUUUUAUAUGUGACGAUUAUGACGGUAGCAUAUGAACAAGGAUCGGCUAACUCCGUGCCAGCCGCCGCCGUAA
rnacentral:rRNA from 1 species